CCUACGGGAGGCUGCAGUGGGGAAUAUUGCACAAUGGGCGCAAGCCUGAUGCAGCCAUGCCGCGUGUGUGAAGAAGGCCUUCGGGUUGUAAAGCACUUUCAGCGGGGAGGAAGGCGGUGAGGUUAAUAACCUCAUCGAUUGACGUUACCCGCAGAAGAAGCACCGGCUGACUCCGUGCCAGCAGCCGCGGUAAUACGGAGGGUGCAAGCGUUAAUCGGAAUUACUGGGCGUAAAGCGCACGCAGGCGGUCUGUCAAGUCGGAUGUGAAAUCCCCGGGCUCAACCUGGGAACUGCAUUCGAAACUGGCAGGCUAGAGUCUUGUAGAGGGGGGUAGAAUUCCAGGUGUAGCGGUGAAAUGCGUAGAGAUCUGGAGGAAUACCGGUGGCGAAGGCGGCCCCCUGGACAAAGACUGACGCUCAGGUGCGAAAGCGUGGGGAGCAAACAGGAUUAGAUACCCGGGUAGUC
rnacentral:rRNA from 1 species